rnacentral:rRNA from 1 species
UCGAGGAUCUUUCGCAAUGGGCGAAAGCCUGACGAAGCGACGCUGUGUGAGCGAUGAAGGCCUUCGGGUCGUAAAGCUCUUUCGCAUAAGAACAAGGGAGGUUGGUGAAUAGCCAGCUAACUUGAGGGUACUAUGUAAAGAAGCACCGGCUAACUCCGUGCCAGCAGCUGCGGUAAUACGGAGGGUGCAAGCAUUAAUCGGAUUUAUUGGGCGUAAAGGGCGCGUAGGCGGAUUUGUAAGUCAGAUGUGAAAUUCCGAAGCUCAACUUCGGAGCUGCAUUUGAAACUACAAGACUAGAGGAGUGGCGGAGAAAACGGAAUUCCACGUGUAGCGGUGAAAUGCGUAGAUAUGUGGAAGAACACCUGUGGCGAAAGCGGUUUUCUAGCUUAUUCCUGACGCU